GCUUCUCGCUGGAGUGCGCACCGAGCGGCAGUGACUUCGCCGCUGCUGUAGUUCCCCGGCUGGAUGCGGUGACUGGUGCCAGUGCUCAGGCGCCCGCUGCCCUUGACCUCCCGCCCCGCGAGCCCUAACUCAGCGCAGGAGGACCGGCUGCCGCCGCCGCCGCCGCCAGAGCCUUGGCUGCCCAGUUGCCAGUCCUACCACGGUCGGAGGUAACCUUCCUGGCUCCAGUCACAUGGCCAGAUAAGGUGGUGUGUGUGGGCAUGAAUUAUGUGGACCACUGCAAAGAACAGAACGUGCCCGUGCCCAAGGAGCCCAUCAUCUUCAGCAAGUUUGCCAGCUCCAUCGUGGGGCCCUAUGAUGAGGUGGUCCUCCCACCACAGAGCCAGGUGUUGGUGUCACCCAUGAUCUAUCCUCCUGUAUGGCCAAAUCCCCUGCCCCCAUAGGCCACAGAUGCCAUGGCCCACGUGGCCGGCUUCACUGUGGCUCAUGACGUGAGUGCUCGUGACUGGCUAACAAGAUGCAAUGGGAAACAGUGGCUGCUGGGAAAAACCUUCGACACCUUCUGCCCUCUGGGCCCUGCCUUGGUGACCAAGGACAGUGUAGCAGAUCCACACAACUUAAAGAUCUGCUGUCGAGUGAAUGGGGAAGUGGUCCAGAGCAGCAACACCAACCAGAUGGUAUUCAAGACAGAGGACCUGAUAGCCUGGGUGUCCCAGUUUGUUACCUUUUACCCAGGGGAUGUCAUCCUGACUGGGACCCCCCCACCUCCACCCAGGUGUCGGUGUAUUCAGGAAACCUCCUGUCUUUCUCAAGGUCUCUGAAGGUCCAGACAGCACUGAUGGCGAGCUUUGGGUCCGCACACUCUGGAAAGAAGAGAGAAGUGAAGGCUCUAGGUAGGGAGAACAGAGAGCCACUGGGCACAGGCUUCUCUCCUCUUGUUUAAAGAAGCCCAGGGAGGGAUAGAGCUCUGACUGGACAGAAGACUGUACUCUGCAGCCUGCCUUCCUAGAGUUGGGUUGUCACUGUCCUGCAGGGGGCAGCAGCCACCAGCAAACACCACUGCCUGCAGGAGCCUGGGCUGACUGGUUGGGACUCACCGAAGAUCCCUUCUUCCUGGGCGGUGGCCUGCAGGAACUGGAACAGCUGCUCUGUGUAGCCCAACUCUGCAGAAGAGAGAAGACCUAGACCUGGCACCCAGCACAGACACAGCCUGCCUCGAGGACUGCAAGGGAACAAGGGCCUCACCAGUAUCGGGCAGCUGGCCCUGGCGGAGGAAGGCGGCAGCCUGUGCAAAGGCCUUGAGCAGCGGGCUGAGCAGGCGGCAGAGGAAAAGAAAGAAAUCUGGGCAGUGUGACUGCUGGCUGAGCUGGAGGGGACAGGCCGGGGUGAGUGCAGCUCCCCACCGCCUCCCUACCACCUCCCUCCAGGGGCAGCUUUUUGAAACACACCCUGAAGUACCGGCCGUCAGCCUCUCCGAAGUCAUCACUGUCACUAUCAGUAAAGUCCCCACUCGGUUUCCACAGCA
rnacentral:lncRNA from 1 species